rnacentral:rRNA from 1 species
CCUACGGGAGGCAGCAGUGGGGAAUAUUGCGCAAUGGGCGAAAGCCUGACGCAGCGACGCCGCGUGAGGGAUGAAGGUCUUCGGAUCGUAAACCUCUGUCAGCAGGGAAGAACGGUCACUGUGCUAAUCAGCAGUGAAUUGACGGUACCUGCAAAGGAAGCACCGGCUAACUCCGUGCCAGCAGCCGCGGUAAUACGGAGGGUGCGUGCGUUAAUCGGAAUUACUGGGGGUAAAGCGGUCGUAGGCGGUAUGUCAAGUCAAGUGUGAAAUCUCCGCGCUCAACGUGGGAACUGCCUUUGAAACUGGCAGACUGGAGUGUGUGAGAGGAUAGUGGAAUUCCAGGUGUAGGAGUGAAAUCCGUAGAUAUCGGGAGGAACAUCAGUGGCGAAGGCGACUAUCUGGCACAUAACUGACGCUGAGGAGCGAAAGCGUGGGUAGCAAACAGGAUUAGAUACCCUUGUAGUC